rnacentral:rRNA from 1 species
AGAGUUUGAUCCUGGCUCAGAUUGAACGCUGGCGGCAUGCUUUACACAUGCAAGUCGAACGGCAGCAUGGGUGCUUGCACCUGAUGGCGAGUGGCGGACGGGUGAGUAAUGCAUCGGGACGUGUCUGUAAGAGGGGGAUAACUGUUCGAAAGAACAGCUAAUACCGCAUAAUAUCCGAGGAAGAAAGCUGGGGACCUUAGGGCCUGGCGCUUACGGGGCGACCGAUGUCUGAUUAGCUAGUUGGUGGGGUAAAAGCCUACCAAGGCGACGAUCAGUAGCUGGUCUGAGAGGACGACCAGCCACACUGGGACUGAGAAACGGCCCAGACUCCUACGGGAGGCAGCAGUGGGGAAUUUUGGACAAUGGGGGCAACCCUGAUCCAGCAAUGCCGCGUGUCUGAAGAAGGCCUUCGGGUUGUAAAGGACUUUUGUUGGGGAGCAAGGUGCACAGGUUAAGAGCUAGUGUACUUGAGAGUACCCAAAGAAUAAGGACCGGCUAACUACGUGCCAGCAGCCGCGGUAAUACGUAGGGUCCAAGCGUUAAUCGGAAUUACUGGGCGUAAAGAGUGCGCAGGCGGCUUUGUAAGCUUGAUGUGAAAUCCCCGGGCUCAACCUGGGAACUGCAUUGAGGACUGCAAGGCUAGAGUGUAGCAGAGGGGGGUAGAAUUCCACGUGUAGCAGUGAAAUGCGUAGAGAUGUGGAGGAAUACCGAUGGCGAAGGCAGCCCCCUGGGUUAACACUGACGCUCAUGCACGAAAGCGUGGGGAGCAAACAGGAUUAGAUACCCUGGUAGUCC